rnacentral:rRNA from 1 species
CAAUAGCGUAUAUUUAAGUUGUUGCAGUUAAAAAGCUCGUAGUUGGAUUUUGGUUAAGAGGGCGCGGUCGGCCGUUUGGUCUGUACUGCGUUGUCUUGACUUCCUGAUGAGGACAUGCUCUUGGUUAACGCUGAGACAUGGAGUCAUCGUGGUUACUUUGAAAAAAUUAGAGUGUUCAAAGCGGGCUUACGCUUGAAUAUAUUAGCAUGGAAUAACACUAUAGGACUCCUGUCCUAUCUCGUUGGUCUCGGGAUGGGAGUAAUGAUUAAGAGGAACAGUUGGGGGCAUUCGUAUUUCAUUGUCAGAGGUGAAAUUCUUGGAUUUAUGAAGGACGAACUUCUGCGAAAGCAUUUGCCAAGGAUGUUUUCAUUAA